CCCUCUCUUUGUUCUUGCACGGUUUCAUGUGACUUUCUCCUCACUCCAGCAAUUUUCUUUUUCUCUCUUUGGUCAAACCAUUUCUCAGACAAAUGUUGCAAUGUGCAACUGGAAACUGAGAAAUCUGAGAUAGGGUUGUUGUGGAAAGUGCUUAAAGAUCGGGGCCGUCACCAUUGGUGAACCGAAGCCUAGCAUUUCCGGGAAGCGAUCGUUUCGUCCGAGUUCCAGCAUAAGGCAUGCCACUGAAUGGUAAUGUUCCCCCUCAUCUUCUGUUUUCUUUAUAUUCAAGUGAUAUCUAAUCUAAUGUAAAAUAGUAAAAUGCGAGAGCGGGAAUUGAACUUGACUAUACAUUGCAAUAGCCAACUUGAUUACAUCCAAAUCUGCGUUUCUCCAUCUCUUUUAUUAAUUACCUACAUUUAAUUUGCUAGUUUUUUUAUUUUAGCCUUAUUUUUUCUAGCUUUGAGUCACAUGGUAGUCUUCACUUACUAGUAACUCAAUGUUGCACGGAUACGGGUAACGUAAUACAACUUAAAACACGGAAGGACACAAAAAUAGAGUUCAUUUUUUUUUUUCAUCUUUUUGGGAUUUGAGUGUCAAAACAGAGCCUAUGUUUUUCAUACAGUCUAUGAGCUUCUGAGCCCCCGCGCCCCCCCUUCUGAAAUUAAGGAAGAUAAUAACAUUUCAUGGUCACACAAUAAAUACUGUGAGCUUCUUCUCCGACAGUACGGAAUAGAAACGACAAUAGCACGAGGACACCUGGCUGAUUGCUGUCCCGAUGCAGCCAUAUUUCACGGUCAACGUUCUUGAAAUGCCAACUGCCAACCCAAGUUAAUGUUUAGAGGAUCAAUUAUUUGUGUGUAUUUACCCUCUGUAGGCCCUGAACACAUGUACAAACCAGUUGUACAAAAUUACAAAUUGUUCCUUGUUUGUGACAAACCCUUGUCUUUUUAUUCAACGUGACCAUUACACCGUUACGUGAUAUUAUUAGUCCACUCAACUAGCUUAGCUAAUUAGCUUUCUUAUCCUUUACCAUAAUUUAACAUUACUCUUCGUGUGCAAACUCCAAUCCACCACUCAUUUCACAAUUAUCGAGCCAUCCGCCUAUAGCAAACCAUUAAUAUCUAGGGAGAAUCACGCUGUCCAUAUGUUUCGAUUGAACUAGAACGAGUGUGUUGUGUACUUCCAUGGAAACAAAAAGAAAAGUUCCCGCAUGAUUUUUGAUAUGUUGGUACCUAUGAGAAUGUAUGCAUUUGGUUCUAGAUUGUAACCUAGAUAUUAUUUUCUUGCCUUGCUUCGUUUCCAUUUUUCAACUAAUAUAUUCUGUUACGCAGGCCAAUCUCUGAUGUUUUUAGCGAUCUUACUGUGGAAAUAGGAGCAUCAAGCUUUGCACUUCACAAGGUGAGUGAAACCGGUUCAGAACUAGUCUAUCGUUCAAUUUGUUGCGGUUACAGGAUAGUUAUUCAUUAACUUGAGAUAAAAUAACUUUGUGUCACGAUUAAAUGAAGACUUGUCGAAAUAAUAAUGUGACGAUGACUGUGUUGCAGUUCCCCCUAGUUUCUAAGAGUGGAAGAAUUCGGAGACUGUUGCUUGAAGCAAAAGAUGCAAAACUUUCGCGCAUAAUUCUUGCUGCUGUUCCGGGUGGACCAGAGGGAUUUGAGCUAGCUGCAAAGUUCUGUUACGGAGUUCAUGUUGAAAUUACACAGUCAAAUGUUGCCAUGCUUCGUUGCGUAGCGCACUUCCUGGAACUGACGGAAGAGUAUGCUGAGAAAAAUAUGGAAACGAGAACUGAAGCUUAUCUGAAGGAGACGGUGCUUCCAAACAUAUCAAAGUCGAUAUCAGUUCUUCGUCGCUAUGAAACCUCUUGCCUGCAGCAGAAGAAACCAACCUUGUAAGCAGGCUUAUCAAAGCAAUUGCAAACAAUGCAUGCAAAGAGCAGCUCACCUCUGGCUUAUUGAAACUUGACCACAACUUCACUGCAAAAGGAGCUCCAAAUAUGGAACCUGAAACGCCCGCAGACCGGUGGGGAAAAGCGCUUACAGUGCUUAGCCUCGACUUCUUCCAACGCGUUCUAUCCGCGGUGAAAACCAAGGGUCUUAAACAGGAUAUGAUCAGCAAAAUCUGAAGGUGUCUACAGGACAAAAUGCAAGAGAUCGAAAUUGGAAGAAAAAAAAUAUGAAGCUUUACGUGAGGCUUGGUGUUGCAAUUUCUCAAAUGAAAAUUUAUUGUUGUCCGGUGAUUGUUUAGGUAGUUUUAACUGGUGGAUAUUAAAGUUUGGUUGGUGUGUGUAUUGAAGUUUGGUUGGCUGGUUUGUAUAUUGAAGUUUGAUUGGUGUAUGUAUUGAAGUUUGGUUGGUUUGGUUUGUAUAUUAAAGUUCGGUUGGUUGAUGUGAUUUGUUCGUUUUUAGAAAUUUUGUCGGAAUAUAAAUCAUCUUUAGAUUAAAAUUUUUGUAAAAUUAAGAGUAAUGUAGGUAAACUAAAUAUGCAAACUAAAUAAUGUAUUACUAAUAAAAAUAAGCACAUUAAUCAACACUUAAAUAAUAAUCCGAUCAUCAACUUUCAUGUAAUUUAGUUUACAAAGUUUGUUCUACGAAUUUAGUCUUCCUAGCAUUACCCUAAAAGUAAAUUUAGAGAACAUAAUUCAAAGAUACAAAAAUAUCCUUACCCGAAAAAAAUUAGGAUUAAAACCAUUUCAUAACAAUUAAUACAUUUUAGGUCUUGAAAUUAAAUUUUGUCUUUCAAUGAACCUAAAUAUUUGAGUUUGAGUCCAAGGGUUGGAGUUGGUCUUAAACUAUUUGUUUUUUACAGUCAAAAGUGCUUUGUUUAGCAGAAAACUUCAAAGUACUUUCAAGUGUUUUCCAUAAAACACAUAGAUUGUCAAUAAAAAUUUCAAUUAAGUACUUAUGAGUUAUGAGCUUUUAGUUUUAGAUAAGCAAUCCUACUACCUAAUGACCCAACUCUUUGGAACGAUGCAUUCUCGGAAAUUACUAGAUAGAAGAUUGUGGUAAGCGGGAGGAAGGUGAGGGUGAUGUCAAGUCAUUAUGCGCCCUUGCCCACUUAUGCCUUGGGCAAUACACAUGCUAUAGUGGCUGGAACCGCUAGUAAUUAUCGUUCAGCCAUACAACAAUGAAUUUAUUCUCGAGCCUUGUCACACUAUGGGAGUUGGCCAUGCUUGAAGUCAAAAGAGAAGAGAAGACACAACAUUUGUCGGAUUGUGCUAUCUACACACUCAUUUUUACUUUCUACACACCCUCUCAAUUUCCAAAAUUAACAAGGGUGUGCGAGAGAUAAAAAAGAGUGUGAAUAACACUACCUAAGUUGUAAGUCAUCGAAUGUCUCCAAGCACGGGAUGGGGAUCAUUUUCCCUCCCUUUUUCCCUCCCCUCCCUCCCCGCCUCUCACAAAUUGUUUUUCUUGUUUCUCUCUGUACUUGUUUUUUUUUUUUUUUUGUUUCUCUCUACAAAUAUGAAAUCUUGAGCGUUUAAACAAGAACGGAAAGAGAGUGGAGAGAAUCUUUGUUCCCACGCGGCUACCUCCGCCUUUCGCUUUCCUUCCCCUUCUUCCUUACUGUAAACUUUACUCGAACAUAUUUCAAGUUAUGUCAUAAUUAACAUUAGAGUAAUACUGUAAAACCCAGGUUAAAGAACUUGAUCUGGUUUACCACUUUAAGCAAAAGUAGCAAAUAAUGAUGGGUCAUAUCACUUUCUACGUUGGUUUCUUUUCAAAUUUGUUUCAUUGUAUUGAAGAGAAUCGAACACUGAACGUAACUUAAUUUUUUCUAACACAUUAUCCUAAACACCUGUGCGUUCUUACUUUAACUUGGAGUAAAAUGAUUAAUAACCCAAGCUACAUUAUGAUCCACCCACCCACACGUUGGAUCACUACAUUGCAAUGCUUUGCUUUUUCGCAUGUGUUUAAAAUAAAGAACUGAGAUUCUCUCCAAAUCACUGUGUUUGGAAUCGGCAGCCUCAUAGAUCGGACCACUCAUGUAAAGCUUUACGGCCUCAUUUGUCUGUCCCACUGCUCUACCUCACACAAAUCAUGGGCCCAUAUCUCUUGCUUCCCUCCUUAAAUGACCAAAAAAAUUUGGUCCGUUGGCUCGGAACUUGGAGAUCCCGAAAUAAGCGUGCUUAGAUUUGGUUUAUAAUUCUUUUUUACUGUAAAUAAUUACUGCCACACACUUCUACUAAUGAAUAAUGAUUCAAACUCCUUUUCACCCUCAUGGGUAACCACAGAAGGACUCAGACAUACUUUUGCCAAUGCUGUCCUUACUUUAUUAUUAUUAUUUCCAAAUUUUAUUUUUCCCAUCUGAUUUAAAUAUAUUUCUUUGAAUUACAUGGUUCACAAAUUCUGAAAACUAGAUUAACCUUAAAAAAAAUGAAUGAGUCCCAAUGCAAUAGCUUAUUACCAAAUGAUGAAAUUUUGAUUUGAUGAGGCAGCUCUGUAGACUGCAGUGUGACAGUGUCCAGCUUCAGCAUUCUGCAAAAUUAUAAUUUUUUGAGUAUGUAUAUAUAUAUAUAUAUAUAUAUUGUAAUUGAGAAAGAGUAGUAAUAACGCUUGUAAUAAAAGAAUUUUGCAAAAUUAUAAUUUUUUGAGUAAAUGUAUAUUUUAAUAUAAUCACAUAUAUAUAUAUAUAUAUAUAUAUAUAUAUAUAUAUAUAUAUUGUAAUUGAGUAAGAGUAGCAAUAAUACUUGUAAUUAAAGAAAACGUUGUGACUCACGAGCUUAAUGAAGUUUGGCUUUAAUUUUGAUAAAUAGUUUCUGUUACCUUUCAUUAUAUAUAAAAUUUUCACUCCAGCAAAGGAGAAUCCUUCAUUUUAUCUUCAUUUUAUCAUUUUACCUACAAGCGGCAUUUUGAUAAAGUUUUGACGUUCAUCGACGAUAUAUUUCUAAAUGUAUGCAAGAAUUUCACCAGUUGUAUGCAAGAAUCUCACUGUUCCUUUCACUUGGUCACUCAUAAUUUGAUACAUUGUUUGUGCCCAAUAAGAAAAACAAAUUAAAGCAAGAACUUGGCUGGAAUCAAUAAGUGCACCCAGCAGAGCAGGGCACUCCAAUUUCUUCUCUUUGCCCUGCCAGCUUACUCUGUAACAGUGUUGAAGCAACAUAUGGAUUGGACCACCUGCCAACUGUUCACAAUGAAAAAGAAGUUAACCAACUUGAUUAAUUUUUUUACAUGAAUAUGCUGUUAUCGUAGCGUUUCAUAUUAAUAAAAUAAAAAUAUAUGUAAGUUUUUUUUCCGUAACGUGGAGUUUGUGACACGAAAUACUACGGCAAGAGUCUACCUGUGCCGUAAGUUUGCACAUUGCUCCAAUAUUAAAAUGUUGUUCAUCACCAACCGAUCAUCCAGCAAACAAAAAAGAAAAAGAAUUGAUGAGGUUAUCAUUGCCACCUGAUCGACUCAAUCCCACGCCAUCAUGAGUCCAACAUUGUCACACUGAGAGCACUGAGUAGCACAAAUGUACAACCAAAUUUAAUACAAGCAUGUGUUGCCAAGGUAAUUAUGUUAAAACGAGUCAUUAAGAGUAGAUAUUGUAGGAGUCCUUUAUUAGGAAAGAAUUAUAUUGGGUUAUAGCCUUUCUUGUAAAACAAGACUAUGAUGUUGCCGAUGUUGGAUUUUUCAAUACGUCUCCUUACGUGGGAUCCAAUUAGUGGUCAUGUGGGAGAUCCACACAACUACAACCAUGUUGAGCCAAUGAGACUCAUCGUACACGCGGGAUCAAAGUACCCAACAUCAUUGCGCACGGUCAAGGGGACCCACCCAUCACGUGGUAGUACACUACGGGUUUGCUCCUUGACUCUGAUACCAUGUCGAAUUAUCAGAGAGACGGGUGAAAGGCUCACUUCCAACAAUACUGAUAUUGUCCCCAACUUGAUAAUUACCACAUGCACAAUCCGUCAAAUGUGGAGUUUUAUCACAAAAGGCAUCGGUAUUAGUUAGAGUGGAGUUAGGAUAUUCAUAAUCAAAUAUAGGGCUGGCAGAUCAAGUGACAGAUACAAAGCAAGGUUGGUGGCGAAGGGUUAUACUCAAACGUAUGGUGUGGAUUACCAGGAAACCUUUUCACCAGUAGAUAGGAUGAAUAGGGUACGUGUUUUAAUCUUUUUAGUUGCAAAUAUGGAUUAGCCACUAAAACAAUUUGAUGUGAAGAAUGCUUUCCUUGAUGGUGGAAUCUAGAAGAAGAAGUAUAUAUUGUUUUUCCUCCUGGAUAUGAUGCAAAUAGGAAGACUGGGGUGUGUAUAUUGCGUAAGUCUCUAUAUGGGCUUAAGCAAACACCUCGUGCGUGGUUCAACAGGUUCACUCAGGCAAUGAAGAAAAAUGGGUAUCAUCAGAGUCAUUCAGACCAUACAUUAUUUAUAAAGCGUAGAUUAAGCAAAGUAAUUGCACUGAUUAUCUAUGUAGAUGACAUGAUUAUUAUAGAAGAUGACUCAGAUAAGAUAAUUAGGUUGCAGGAGAAUUUGCAUUAGAGUUUGAGAUGAAAAACUUGGGAGAUUUGAAGUACUUCCUUGGAGUUGAGGUUGCCCAGUCGUCCAAAUGUAUUUCUUAUCUCAAAGGAAAAUAUUUGUUGGAUUUGUUAAAAGAAACUGGUAUGCUAGGGUGUAAACCUGUGGACACACCUAUUGUAGAAAAACAUCAUAUGGGUGUUUAUCCAUGUUAUAAUAUGAAUAGGUGACUGGCGUAUGCUUUAGGGCAAACUGUUAGCAUUUCGAAGCUUGUGUGAGAGUCGAUUAAGAGGCUAUACUAGAUGUAUUGCCUCCGUUUCUUAGACUUGACUAACCUAUGUGCAAACUAACAUUCACGCAAAUUUUCUCGUCUCUCAUGAUUGAUUAAUUGUUGAGAGUAUGAAUCCUAUUGAGAAAGAAAGAACAUUGCAUGUGCUUAUAAGUAAAUGGGCUACUCCUCAUAUUACCAAUUGAUUUUAUGGUUGAAUCAAAUUUCUUUAUAAAAUCAGAGCAAGUUGUCCCUCGUGUGAAGUCCAACGGCCACACGUGCUCCGAGUCACCUAAUUUGUGUUUCUACGUCCUAGUUUGAAAAUUUGUCACACAAUUGAUACCUGAAUUGGUAGGUUUGAUGUACAAUGUUUUAGUAUCACAUAAUAAUUUCUCGUCAUUGAGCCGUACAAGGCCUCCAGAUGUCGAAACCGUAGUGGCUGAAAGUAUGUAACACGGGUAUACAUCCCUUAUGGAAUAUAUGAUGGAAAUGCAUGUUUGGUUCUAGAAGACUAUAGAAUAUAGUUUAAGUGGAUGCGUGUGGUUCUAAUUAUAUCAGGUAAACCCACUCAUCCUUUAAAUUUCUACUUUAAUUAGCUUUACACAUAAUUAACGACUUAAUUUAAGCAAAAGCUUUAAGCGAGUAGCUUUCACUAGCCAUGAUUACAACCCCCAAAAGCACUGCAGCCCUCUCAGAAAUCCUGCAAAAUUUCCUCACAAACAUUAACCAUGUAAAAGCAACUCACUCAGUCACUCACUCCCUCUCACUACCUUUCACCGAAAAGUGCUUUUGCAGCUGCAAUUCCUUGACUUUUAGAUUAAAAACCUCAUCAUAGACACUCAUUAAAGUAAUUAAAUUGUUUCAAAGUCCCCUCCUUUGUUCUUGCUCGGUUUCAUGUGACUUUCUCCUCUCUCCAGCAGCAUUUUUCUUUUUCUCUCUUUCCCCAAACGAUUUCUCCGACAAAUGUUGCAAUGUGCAACUGGAAACUGAGAAAUCUGAGAUGGGGUUUUAGUGGAAAGUGCUUAUGUUGCUGAAAGUUUGAGGCUUCUGAACUUUUUGUAGUGGGAUUUGGAGGUGCAGGAUUUUGAGUGGGAAUUUAUGAAGUAAGGUGUUUGAAAAUUUGAGAAAUCUGAGACGGGUUUUUAGUAAAAGUGCUUAUAUUGUUGAAAGCUUGAGGCUUUUGAUAAUUUUGUAGUGGGAUUGGAGCUGCAGGAUUUUGAUCAUAAAGUGUUUGAGGAAAGAUGGGGGCCGUCACCAUUGGUGAACUGAAGCCUAGCAUUUCCGGGAAGCGGUCGUUUCGUCCGAGUUCCAGCAUAAGGCAUGCCACUGAAUGGUAAUGUUCCCCCUCAUCUUCUGUUUUCUUUAUAUUCGAUCGAUAUCUAAUCGAAUGUAAAAUAGUAAAAUGCGAGAGCGGGAAUUGAACUUGGGCACAUAUUGCAAUAGCCAACUUGAUUACACCCAGUUAUGCGUUCCUCCAUCUCUU
rnacentral:lncRNA from 1 species